rnacentral:rRNA from 1 species
GAUGAACGCUGGCGGCGUGCCUAAUACAUGCAAGUCGAGCGAACAGACGAGGACCUUGCUCCUCUGACGGUAGCGGCGGACGGGUGAGUAACACGUGGAUAACCUACCUAUAAUACUGGGAUAACUUCGGGAAACCGGAGCUAAUACCGGAUACUAUAUUUAAACGCCUGGUUCAAUAGUAAAACACGGUUUUGCUGCCACUUAUCGAUGGCUCCGUGCCUCAUUAGCUAGUUGGCAAGGUAACGGCUUACCGAGGCGACGAUGCGUAGCUGACCUGAGAGGGUGAUCGGCCACACUGGAACUGAGACACGGUCCAGACGCCUACGGGAGGAAGCAGUAGGGAAUCUUGCGCAAUGGGCGAAAGCCUGACGUAGCAACGCCGCGUGAGUGAGGAAGGUCUUCGGGUCUUAAAACUCUGUUAUUAGGGAAGAACAGAUGUGUAUGUAAAUAUGCACGUCAUGACGGUACCUAAUCAGAAAGCCACGGCUAACUACGUG